GAAUGUCAGGAUUUGCGUGGGGAGCGACCUUAAAACCCAUCCCGUCGAACCUUCCAGUGGAUCAGGUUGCUGCAAGCCCCGUCCGACCCCAGAAGGGCUGUCCAGCCGUGGCACAGUUGCCCAGGGCAGCGGAUACAGCAGCGCUGUUGUGUGGCUGAGCCACGUGAGGAGGAUGCUGCUUAUUCCUCCAUCAUUAGACCCCUCACGUACAGCUGCCAUGACAAGGAACCCCCGUUUUCCAUCGCAGGAGACGCAAUGCUAAGCUAGAUGGCCAUUGGGGCUGAUCCCAUUUAGCUGCCUUGAUGCAGGAUAUCAGUUUAAUGGAGGUGCCAGUUUGGCUGGAAGUGGAGAAAGCACAGCUGGAGCAUGUCCUGCUGUAGAUGGCAGGGAUCUGGACAGGAGGGGUGAGUGGCACCUGCCUGUCCCUGCCCACGUGGGAAGCACGGGCUCAGCUCUGCCAGGCUGCCACACAGACCCUGCUGGGAUCUACAGCUGGGUUAACCCCUGCCCAAACCCAGCUAUUGGGAGAUCAGCCUUGGAUUAAAGGGGGUUUGUUCUCAGAGGAAGGGGAACUUGGGUCUUUGAGCUUCCCCAGCCAAAUGAUUUUGUGAUUCUAAAAUUACUCCACAACCUCCUUUGGCUGGAGGCCAGUGUCACCUGUCAGGUACAAGCAGCAUCAGGAUCCUGCUUGUUUCCAAGCACAGCAAGAAGCAGGCAGUUUCACUGUCAGAAUCUGGUUUUAUUCUGUUUGAACCUCGGCCUUUGCCCUGCAGUUCAAGUCCCAGCUGCUGUUAAAACAAACACUGUUAUUUGUACACAUUUGUUGGCGUGUUUCUGGUUUGUGACAAUUGUUUCACAAGCAGGGUUUACUCUGUUUCAAACAACAGAAGCCACAACAUGACAGAUGUCAUUCCACUCACACACUCCACACAUGCAAGUCAGCGGUCCCUGGUGCCUGCCGUCGCCGUGUGACGCGUUUGUGGGGUGAAGCCAAGGGGGCUUAGCGGGGAGCAGGGGGACUGUCAGAGCCCGCAGCCAGCCGGAGCUCUGCUGGCCAGCGGGGAACACCGAAGCACGACGAGUCAAAGCGUUUCGGGGAGGAAGUGUGGCGGCAUCCAGGCGGAAAGCUCCCCAUCAAAGCCAGGGAGCCCGGCCCCGGCUCUCCCUUUGCAUAGUGAGGAGCUGGCUGGGAUGCGUGGCGGUGUUUCCAGGCUCCAGCAGGGCACAGGAGUGCGUGGCACGCGGGGAUCAGCCCAGCUCCACGCUGCUGAAGUCCCACCACGGGCAGCGGGUGGGUUUUGUCUCACAUCCCCACCCAGGUUCUCCCGAAACGCUUCCCCUCGGCUGUGGGAUGAGCUCUUUGCCAACCUUCUGCUGGACAACUGAGACAGGACAGGGCUGUCCUGCCCUCGCAGCAUUGCUAAAGGCUUGUUUUCUAAGAGUCUUUAAGGCUUGCAUCUCCCCCUUUGCUUUCACUGAGAAAAUACAAAGAAGCGCUUGUUCAAGCUACACUUCAUGACUGCUGUGCACUGCAUGUACAAUAGCAUUGGAAGAGAAAUACUGACAAUAUAGAACAACGUCAUACAAUCACCUGGCAUGAUCCCUUUUGGCACUUUUCCUUCAUUUAUCUCAUCUGGCUGCCUCCGAACACGGACCUUCCUGUAUGGCUCUUCCCGGGCAGAGAGCUCCAGAGGGUCGGAAAGCAACUUUCCGGGAGUCGGUGGCAUCUUUGGCAGACACAGUCCUCCGUCAGGGCAGCAACCCCAGCCCCUCCGGAUGAGACAUUGUGGGAGAACACUCCCACGCCCGUGCUGUCCCACAGCCAGCAAGGAAUGCCUUCAUCCCGGAGGGAAGGCAGCUGAGGGUCACAAAGGACUUUCAGAGAAGCGUGAAUAAAUACUUGGUUUAAUCUCGUGAUGCAUCCACCGUUCAGCAGGAGGUAUUUUCCUUCCCAGCUGCCAUGAUUUCUGGCAAAGAUGGUGUCAUUCCUGACCUUUACAGGGGAGAGGCUGGGUGCUCCUGCUCUUUUGAGUGUGAUUAUUUACAAUUUUUGUUGUUUUUUGCAAGCUUACACAAACUUGGAGAGUGUUAAAUUAAUAAAACAUUCAUCCUGACUUUGCGUCGCCGCAACCCUUCCACGACAGGACUGUGAUUGCACAUCCAAAGGCAUCCUUGAACACAGAUGCCAUGGCCUGUGCGUGAUGCCUGGGGAGUUGGGAUCUCUGUUUUGGGGGAAGCUGGGAGCACGAGGAUUCCCAUGAAGCUUUUUUUUGGCUGGGGACAAGCUCCAGCCCAGGCACUGCCUCCUACACUUCUGCCCAGCUUGGAUUUGGGAUCAGGAAAUUAACGCACAAACCCCUAAACAUUUACAAAAUCUUUUCAAAAGAAGGUAUUUAAGACACUGGCAUAGUGCAUUGGGCUGUGAAAUCUGUUUUAAGAGGGGAAAGAAAAGAUACAUUCAGCGUGUAAAUCGAUUUUUUUGUGGUGUAAGCAGCCCAGGCCCAGCUGAACCCCCACAAACAGCACGAGAAAAAAAGGAAACCAUUUAGGGAAGUUUGUUUGGGGCUCCAGGGAUGAGCCGCAGAAAAGGAGGCCUGCAAAAAGAAUUCUAAAUCUAAAUGCACCUGGGAAGUGCAUAUUGUAGCUCAAAACGUUGGGAAAACCAGCACGCAUCCCAAGAUAAAGCUGCGGCUUUCCCUCCGGAGCUCCGAGGGCACAUCCAGGCCAUCACUACUUCUCUUUGUGCUGCUCUUCUGGGUCCAGUCAAGGCUCUAAUUCUUUUAUUUCCUUCUAAUUGACUGCUGGACAGAGGAGCAGGUUUUGGUUUGGGUCCAAAGCGCCUGCUUUGAGCAGCACCUGCCGAGGCUGCGGCGCAGGAGAGGGCCCGGAGCGCCGGGAAGGCAGAGCAGGCCAGGUUCACCAGCCCCAGGCACAACCUGAACCAUCCAGUGGUUUGUGUGGCAAGGAGAUUCAGAGAUAGAGAUAUAUAUUAUGGAAUCAUUGCUAUAAGAUCUCUCAAAACAAAAGUGUUGAUCUGUUGAAAUAUAGUAUUUAAAAUAUAGAAAUUUUAUCCAAUAAAAUAUAAGAUUUCUUUUU